UACGGGGGGGCAAGCGUUGUUCGGAAUUACUGGGCGUAAAGGGCUCGUAGGUGGCCAACUAAGUCGGACGUGAAAUCCCUCGGCUUAACCGGGGAACUGCGUCUGAUACUGGAUGGCUUGAGUUCGGGAGAGGGAUGGCGGAAUUCCAGGUGUAGCGGUGAAAUGCGCAGAUAUCAGAAAGAACACCCGUGGCGAAGGCGGCUCUCUGGUACGUGACUGACGCUGAGACGCGAAAGCGUGGGGAGCAAACAGG
rnacentral:rRNA from 1 species